UCAUGUUUUCCAGAAAAGGAAUAGAAAAUUUAAUAGGCUCUUUAAUUACUCUAUACCAUGUUUAUUAACGACUUUUAGAGUAUCAUAUUCCGUUGUUAGCACAACAUAUAACUGUCUAACGUCAUCGGACUUAUGUAAGAGAGUGUUCGGCUACAAUGUACAGAAAAUCAAUUUCCGCGAAAAUCGAUUUUUGGACAUAUAAACUAUUCGAAAAGAAAUGAAUGCAUAAUUGAACUAUCUGCUAUUGGUCAGACUUUAGCCAUUGGGCUGUUUUCGCUUCAUUCGUUUCACUUUCGCUUCACUUGCACGUCUUUGUUGUUCCCAUGUAGCUUCAAUCUAGAACCUGGAAGCCUAAACAACGCCUUGAGACAUAAUUCUUCCUCCGAUAGUUUGAUACUGAAAAAAUGAUAAAAAAAUUUAGAAAUACGCGUAAGUUUAGAAAUUUAUACCCGAACAAACUUGCUUUUCCUACUGCUUUUGUAUGUUCAAUCACCCGACAGUUGAAAUGAAUACAACACGCAGUGAUACCAAAUAGAUCAGGAACGCUGAACUCUUAAGGUAAAAAAAAAAACUAAGAAUGAAAAGGACCUCUAGAGAAAGCAAUAAGAAACAUCAGAAAAGUAUUGAAUGUAAUUAUAGCCAAACGGUGACUGGAAAUUUUCAUGGACAUAAAUUCCAAAUACAGUUUUAUGCAGAAGGUUAAUCUUAUCGAAUUAAGAAUAAUGGUUAUUUGACAAAUGACUAUGGAAAUAAGAACAUUAAGCAUAAAAAGUGCAGAAAUAGUAAAUUUUAAUUUACCUUCGUGUAGAUAUCAACAUCAGUGUCUAGUUUAACAUGUUGUUGUCUCUCUCGUUGACAAUUUAGCCAGCAUCUCU
rnacentral:lncRNA from 1 species